rnacentral:sRNA from 1 species
UUGACCCUGUACCUGCACCGAGACCGCUUCCAGUAGAACCUGAACCAGAUGACCCUGAUCCUGCACCA